rnacentral:rRNA from 1 species
UGCCAGCCGCCGCGGUAAUACGGAGGAUCCAAGCGCUAUCCGGAAUCAUUGGGUUUAAAGGGUCCGCAGGCGGUCUAUUAAGUCAGAGGUGAAAUCCUGCCGCUCAACGGUAGAAUGGCCUUUGAUACUGAUAGACUUGGGUUAUUGUGAAGUAGUUAGAAUGUGUAGUGUAGCGGUGAAAUGCGUAGAUAUUAGAAAGAACACCGGUGGCGAAAGCGCUCUACUGGACCAUUACUGACACUCAGAGGCGAAAGCUAGGGUAGCAAAAGGGAUUAGAUA